rnacentral:rRNA from 1 species
GACGAACGCUGGCGGCGUGCCUAAUACAUGCAAGUAGAACGCUGAAGGAGGAGCUUGCUCUUCUGGAUGAGUUGCGAACGGGUGAGUAACGCGUAGGUAACCUGCCUGGUAGCGGGGGAUAACUAUUGGAAACGAUAGCUAAUACCGCAUAAGAGUAGAUGUUGCAUGACAUUUACUUAAAAGGUGCAAUUGCAUCACUACCAGAUGGACCUGCGUUGUAUUAGCUAGUUGGUGGGGUAACGGCUUACCAAGGCGACGAUACAUAGCCGACCUGAGAGGGUGAUCGGCCACACUGGGACUGAGACACGGCCCAGACUCCUACGGGAGGCAGCAGUAGGGAAUCUUCGGCAAUGGACGGAAGUCUGACCGAGCAACGCCGCGUGAGUGAAGAAGGUUGUCGGAUCGUAAAGCUCUGUUGUAAGAGAAGAACGAGUGUGAGAGUGGAAAGUUCACACUGUGACGGUAGCUUACCAGAAAGGGACGGCUAACUACGUG